UACGUAGGGGGCAAGCGUUGUCCGGAAUCAUUGGGCGUAAAGCGCGCGUAGGCGGCCCGGUAAGUCCGUUGUGAAAGUCAAAGGCUCAACCUUUGAACGCCGAUGGAUACUGCCGGGCUAGAGUUCGGAAGAGGCGAGUGGAAUUCCUGGUGUAGCGGUGGAAUGCGCAGAUAUCAGGAGGAACACCAAUAGCGAAGGCAGCUCGCUGGGACGGUACUGACGCUGAGGCGCGAAAGCGUGGGGAGCGAACAGG
rnacentral:rRNA from 1 species